AAUUGGAGGGCAAGUCUGGUGCCAGCAGCCGCGGUAAUUCCAGCUCCAAUAGCGUAUAUUAAAGUUGUUGCAGUUAAAAAGCUCGUAGUUGAAUUUCGGGAUCAGUACGCUGGUCGUGCCUUCGGUAUGUACUGGUGUUACUGGUUCCUACCUUCUGACGAACCGUCAUGUCAUUAAUUUGGUGUGGCGGGGAAUCAGGACUGUUACUUUGAAAAAAUUAGAGUGUUUAAAGCAGGCUCGCGCUUGAAUACAUUAGCAUGGAAUAAUGAAAUAGGACGUUUGAUCCUAUUUUGUUGGUUUCUAGGAUUGACGUAAUGAUUAAUAGGGAUAGUUGGGGGCAUUAGUAUUCAAUUGUCAGAGGUGAAAUUCUUGGAUUUAUUGAAGACUAACUACUGCGAAAGCAUUUGCCAAGGAUGUUUUCAUUAAUCAAGAACGAAAGUUAGGGGAUCGAAGACGAUCAGAUACCGUCGUAGUCUUAACCAUAAACUAUGCCGACUAGGGAUCGGAUGAUGUUAAUUUUUUAAUGACUCAUUCGGCGCCUUACGGGAAACCAAAGUGU
rnacentral:rRNA from 1 species